UAGGGCUCUGGAGGCGCAGGUGAGGGAGCUCCGGGAGGAGGUUAGCAGGCUGAGGGGGAUCAGGGAGGCGGAGGAUGAAAUUGAUAGUUAUUUCCUUUCCCUGCAGGCCCAGGCACCAAAGGAAGAAGCAACCCGGGGAAUACCCUCCACAGCAGAGUGGCAGACGGUCACAGCCAGGACCGGAGCGGCACGCAGCGAACCGGUACCAGCUUCUCCAGUCCGACUGGUGAACAGAUCAAGAGAUCCACGAUGACCCAGAGGAGGAGGCGACGAGUGCUCGUCAUAGGAGACUCCAUCCUGAGAGGUACGGAAGGACCCAUCUGUCGCCAGGACCCCUCGGCACGAGAGUGACCGGACGAGGAAGACAGCAGGAGAACUGCAUCAGAGAGACCAACUGGCGGCUUCAGCAGUGGUGUCUUGAGGCAGGCUUCGGCUUCCUGGACAAUGACCCGCACAUCACGACGAGGGACAUGCUCAGCUGGGAUGGGCUUCACCUGUCCCCCAAAGGUAAGCGUGUGUUUUCUACUA